rnacentral:tRNA from 1 species
GGAUAGCUCAGUCGGUAGAGCGUUAGGCUUUUAACCUAACGGUCCCUGUUCGGGUGGUAACG